rnacentral:rRNA from 1 species
AAUGAACGUUGGCGGCGUGGAUUAGGCAUGCAAGUCGAGCGAGAUCUGUAGCAAUACAGUGAGAGCGGCGAAAGGGAGAGUAAUACGCAGGUACCUGCCCUCGGGUCUGGGAUAGCUGCGGGAAACUGCAAUUAAUACCAGAUGACGUCUGAGGACCAAAGGUGUGAUUCCGCCAGGGGAUGGGCCUGCGUCCUAUCAGCUAGUUGGUGUGGUAAAGGCGCACCAAGGCAAAGACGGGUACGGGGUGUGAGAGCAUGCCCCCGCUCACUGGGACUGAGACACUGCCCAGACACCUACGGGUGGCUGCAGUCGAGAAUCUUCCGCAAUGGGCGAAAGCCUGACGGAGCGACGCCGCGUGUGGGAUGAAGGCCUUCGGGUUGUAAACCACUGUCAGUGGGGAGCAAAUGGCUAGGGGUUCUCCCCUAGUCUUGAGCGAUCCGCAGAGGAAGCACAGGCUAAUUCCGUGCCAGCCGCCGCAGUAACAC